rnacentral:rRNA from 1 species
AACGAACGCUGGCGGCAUGCCUAACACGUGCAAGUCGAACGAAGGCUUCGGCCUUAGUGGCGCACGGGUGCGUAACGCGUGGGAACCUGCCCCUCGGUUCGGAAUAACAGUUAGAAAUGACUGCUAAUACCGGAUGAUGACUUCGGUCCAAAGAUUUAUCGCCGAGGGAUGGGCCCGCGUAGGAUUAGCUAGUUGGUGGGGUAAAGGCCUACCAAGGCGACGAUCCUUAGCUGGUCUGAGAGGAUGAUCAGCCACACUGGGACUGAGACACGGCCCAGACUCCUACGGGAGGCAGCAGUGGGGAAUAUUGGACAAUGGGCGAAAGCCUGAUCCAGCAAUGCCGCGUGAGUGAUGAAGGCCUUAGGGUUGUAAAGCUCUUUUACCUAGGGAUGAUAAUGACAGUACCUGGAGAAUAAGCUCCGGCUAACUCCGUG